rnacentral:rRNA from 1 species
GAUGAACGCUAGCGGCAGGCCUAAUACAUGCAAGUCGAACGGUGUCUUCGGACAUAGUGGCGCACGGGUGCGUAACACGUAUGCAACCUACCUUACAUUGGGGGAUAGCCUUUCGAAAGGGAGAUUAAUACCGCAUAAGACAGUAGCUGGGCAUCAUGUAGCUGUUAAAGAUUUAUCGAUGUAAGCUGGGCAUGCGUCCAAUUAGUUAGUUGGUGAGGUAAAGGCUCACCAAGACGAUGAUUGGUAGGGGAACUGAGAGGUCAAUCCCCCACACUGGAACUGAGAUACGGGCCAGACUCCUACGGGAGGCAGCAGUAGGGAAUAUUGGGCAAUGGACGCAAGUCUGACCCAGCCAUGCCGCGUGCAGGAAGAAGGCGUUCUGCGUUGUAAACUGCUUUUAUAUAGGAAGAAACGACUCUUGCGAGGGGCAUUGACGGUAUUAUAUGAAUAAGCACCGGCUAACUCCGUGCCAGCCGCCGCAGUAACAC